rnacentral:rRNA from 1 species
GACGAACGCUGGCGGCGUGCUUAACACAUGCAAGUCGAACGAAGUGGCGGACGGGUGAGUAACGCGUAAUCAACCUGCCCUUCAAAGGGGGACACCAGUUGGAAACGACUGCUAAUACCGCAUACUGAAGGAGGGGAUUGCGGCGGAUUAGCUCUGUGGGGGGGUAACGGCCCACCAAGGCGAUGAUCAGUAGCCGGGCUGGUAGGAUUGACGGCCACAUUGGGACGUGGAAACGGCCCAGACUCCUACGGGGUGCAGGAGUGGGGAAUCUUUCGAAAUUGAGGGAAGUCUGACGGAGCAAAGCCGGGGGAGUGAUGACGGCCUUCGGGGUGGAAAGCUCUGUUAAUCGGGACGCGGUACCGGAAUAGAAAGCCACGGCUAACUACGUGCCAGCAGCCGCGGUAAUUC